UUAAGUUCAGCGGGUAGUCCCGCCUGAUUCGAGGUCAGAUGAUAGAUAAAUUGUCAAUGAAGACGACUAGAAGCAAUCCUUUGAUUAGUUUGGCCAUCUUCUAAUAAAAGAGGAUGUCCUCAACGAUAGAUAAUUAUCACGUCGAGUAGAACCAAGCUGCACUAGGAUCCGCUAAUAAUUUUCGGACCAGCUGUUUGUUA
rnacentral:misc_RNA from 1 species